rnacentral:rRNA from 1 species
AUGCUCGCGCAGAAGCCGCUCCUCUGCGACAUCGACCUUGCCGCCGACAACUGGGACACCUUCCUUCCCCACGAUCUGGCCACGUUCGUGGCGGACGGAUCCCGCCGUGACACCGAUGAGAACGGUGGCGUCACCCUCCGCUACAACAUGGAAAUGUCUCUGACCAUCCGGGUGGAGGUCAUCUACAGAGAGCCCAAGGCGCUGCUUCUGGCGUGUGACGAGCGUGCCACGGUGACUCGAUGCCUAUUCGCGGCGACGCCGACCGACUGCCCUAUAUGCAUGGAGGAUUUUGUCAGGGACGACAGUGACACCAAUGACGACAGUGACACCACCGUGAGGGUGAGGCUGCCGUGCUCCCACUCCUUCCACUGCGACUGCAUCUUGCCGUGGUUCUACAAGGUGGCCAAGUGCCCAAAGUGUCGCCAUGACUUGGGCAAGUACCUUGUCGCCGCCACAGACACCCCAAUGGGGAAGUUCCCCGGCCUCCCCCAACAACCCUGA